rnacentral:rRNA from 1 species
GACGAACGCUGGCGGCGUGCUUAACACAUACAAGUCGAACGGUAGGGCCCUUCGGGGUACACGAGUGGCGAACGGGUGAGUAACACGUGGGUGAUCUGCCCUGCACUUCGGGAUAAGCCUGGGAAACUGGGUCUAAUACCGGAUAGGACCACUGCCUGCAUGGGUGGGGGUGGAAAGCUUUUGCGGUGUGGGAUGGGCCCGCGGCCUAUCAGCUUGUUGGUGGGGUGAUGGCCUACCAAGGCGACGACGGGUAGCCGGCCUGAGAGGGUGACCGGCCACACUGGGACUGAGAUACGGCCCAGACUCCUACGGGAGGCAGCAGUGGGGAAUAUUGCACAAUGGGCGCAAGCCUGAUGCAGCGACGCCGCGUGAGGGAUGACGGCCUUCGGGUUGUAAACCUCUUUCAGCACCGACGAAGCGCAAGUGACGGUAGGUGCAGAAGAAGGACCGGCCAACUACGUGCCAGCCGCCGCGGUAA